GCUGUGGCUCAGUGGUACAGCAUCUGCUUGGCAUACAGAAGAUCCUACGUUCAAUUUCCAGUUAACACAGAGGCA
rnacentral:tRNA from 1 species